rfam:Sulfitobacter sp. H3 contig3, whole genome shotgun sequence.
GCGGAAGGCUGGAUGGCCGCGGGGGCGGGGGCAACUUCGCGUCCGAGGAAAGUCCGGACUCCACAAAGACACGGUGCCGGGUAACGCCCGGCGGGGGCAACCCCAGGGAAAGCGCCACAGAGAACAGACCGCCUUUAUGCGGAUCGGGCAACCGACAUCACAUAGGGGUAAGGGUGAAACGGUGGAGUAAGAGACCACCGCGGGACGGGCAACCGGACCGGCACGGCAAGCCCCACCGGGAGCAAUGCCAAAUAGGGACCGCGUGCGGCGCAAGCCGCAGGGCUGCUUUGGCCCGAGCAGGUCCGGGUUGGCAGCUAGAGGCGCAGGGGUAACUCUGUGCCAAGAUGAAUGGCCAUCCACGGGGGGCAACCCCCUGGACAAAAUCCGGCUUACAGGCCUUCCGCGCAA